AGCUGUUUUGGGACUACAGUUCCCAUCAUCCCUGACCACUGGUCCUGUUAGCUAGGGAUGAUGGGAGUUGUAGUCCCAAAACAGCU